GAGAAACAGCAUGUUAUGAUUUAGACACAUGUCAUAGAUGCCAAGUUAUCCUGAGUGGAUAAAAUCCCUGCCAUGAUUCUGCAGGCAGAAAAUACUUAUGAUUGUGAACAUUUCCAAAUGGAAGAGGUUGACUUGUAGCAUGCCAUAAUAUUAGUAUUGAUCCUGUUAGCUUAAAGACCUCGAAGAAAGAAAAUGCAGCAUGGCAGGCAAAGGUGCUGACAAUACAAAAUGGAGGGAGCUUUGCAAGCAUAGAGCUGAGGCGCAAUAAAACUCACAAUAACUCAGAGAGACUGGAAUCAUAGACAAAUAAGUGGCUUAUGAAAUUCAAUUUGGUAAAAGAAAAAAAGCCCCAAGGUAAAGAAUCCCAGGGCUAAACAAUACAAAAGAAAGCUAAAGGAUAGAAAAGCAUUUGCUGAAAUGGCUAUUAUUUUACUAUUCACAUCCAGGGAAGGUGUUUAUUAUAAAUUAGAAUUUUGAGAAGUAUCCUAGCAGCACUAAGGAGUUCUAUUUCAGUCAUUGUUUCUAAAUGUCAAAGCACGGAGCAUGAGAAAGAGGAGACAGAGGAGAAGAAAACUGGGGAGCAGGCAAAAAUGAAAGAAGUAGCAGCCAUCUCAAAUAUUGAGUUCUUCAGCAUGUUCCAUAUUCCAGAAAGAAGAGAUGCUGAAAGAAAGAAGACUACACUACGACAGCACAGCCUCUUUGCAGUCUCCCAGUCAAGAGCUUCCAAAUAACAGACUGGGCAUGUGUCCCCCUUUACAAGAGGAGAUGCCUUCCUUAUGCCUUCUGUGUCAAUGGAUGCCCAAGUCUUCUUUAAAGAAAAAGAACUAUAAGAAGCAAGAGCAGGAACCUUGAAUUUUUUCCAUCAAUCAACAGCACCUAGACUGCAGACUGAACAUUCAUACAGGCCUUCAAUGAAUUUUGGAGUUAUGGCGAACCUAAAGGUCUUCUAGGUGAGAUGUAUUCAGAGGGACUUUAUCUUUGCCUUCCUCUGCAUCCAAGAAAAUGUGAUUUGUCCAAGGUUAACCAAUAGGUUUCCAUAAGUAUGUGGAGAUUUGAACCCUGGUCUCCAGAGUCACUCACCAGUGAUGGCCCUCCAGGUGUUUUGGACAUCAGCUCCCAGAAUUCCUGGCCAUUGGACAAAUUGGGGAGCACCAAUGUGGCCAACACAGCCAGUGAUUUCAGAGAGAAGAGCUCAGAAGAGAGACCUCAUUGGACUAUAAAUUUCCAGAAUGCCACAUUGAACAUGCUGGCUGGGAAUUCUGGUACUUGCAAUCCAGUGAUGUAACAUUUCAAAGGAGCCUGGUUGAUCAACUAUGGAAUUAGAACAUGGCAGAAAUUAUGCAGGUUUCCAGAUGUUGAACUGCGCAUCCCAGCAGCCCUAGCUAACAUAGCUAAUGGGGAAGAAUGCUGGGAGCUGCAAUCCAACAAUAUCGAAAUGGCCACUUAACUUCCACAGCUGAAUUAAAGGAUCUGAAACAUUUUGAGAAUCGUCUGCCUUCACAAUUAGCAAAAUGACCAACUCAGAACCAUUUCUCAUGCUGCAAAACACAGCAUUGUCUGCUUUUUAAUGAUACUAGUUAUGCAUCUGUAUAAAUCUCCGAAGUAUUGCUGCUACUGCAGAAGGAAGCAGAUGAAAUAAAUGUCCCCAGAAAGAUA